rnacentral:rRNA from 1 species
AUGGAGCACCUCCUAGCGGGUUGCCCCUUCUCGAGGCAGAUUAGGCACAGAUGUCUGGCUUGGUGCACCCCUCCAGUUCAUGCGCCGACCGUUGGCACUCGGUUCCUUGACUGGUGGCACACCACCACGUCCAGCGCCCCGGUGGCACACAGGAAGGGCCUCUCCUCACUCAUCUUGCUCAUCGCUUGGUCCAUUUGGAGGCACCGCAACCAUUGCGUGUUUGACGGCGGCACCCCCUCAGCCACACAGCUAUGCCGAGACAUCCGCGAAGAAGCGAGCUCCUGGAUCAAGGCAGGAGCGACUGGGUUAGCCACCAUAGCACCAUAG